CAAUUAAAUACAUAUUUAUUUGACUGCAGCUCUUGCACAUUUAAAAACUAAAGCCUGCAAAUGUGCAUUUUGUUUUCAACGUUUCGGGUACGUUCGGGAAUGUGGGAGGAGUCUCAGCGUGGUUAUAAAUGGGUCAUACACCCUUAUCUUCCUCCCUUCCACCUCCUACUACUCUUGACUACCUCAGGUCGAGAAAGAUGGAGACUCUACUUAAGUCAAGGUGGAUGAUCGGGCUCCAUUUGAGCAUCAGACUGGACUUCAUGGAAGCUUGGACUCAAUCCUUGUCUCAUCCUCCACAUUAAGAGAUGGCUGCCUUCUGUAGAUGGAAAACACCUAAAGAACUCUGGUUGAACGACACCCAUCUUUUCGGCUCAAAAGCUGGGAAUUGACCCUAUGGGCUGCUGAUGGCACCUGAUCUAAAUGGUCUUGAAAGCACUGAGAAGGAAGUUGCUGACAAAGCUUUUGGAUCCUGAGGUGUUGAUGGCUCCUGCAAACCGAAGAUGUGCUGACGUUUCUAGAAAGCGGUUUAUCCUUGACCGUCCAGCAGGUGAAGGUUGAUGGCAGCCAUGACCGGCUUGAGGUGCAAGUGGAGGUUGGUGCUUGUUGCAGAUUUACAGCGUGAGACCAGCUUGCACAUUACAGGAUGUCCAUGACUCGCUGCUCCUGGGCUCUGCUGUGUUUUGCUGUGACCAUCAGAUGUGUAAUUAAAUUGAGUUUUAGUACUUGAUUGCCUUGUUUGCAGAAUCGCUUGCCAUACAUGCUUUACACACAAAAUAAAACAAACUGGACAUGA